rnacentral:rRNA from 1 species
AACAUGGGGAAGCUUGCUCUCUGAUGGCGAGUGGCGAACGGGUGAGUAACAUAUCGGGAACGUGCCUAGUAAUGGGGAAAACUAAUCGAAAGAUUUAGCUAAUACCGCAUACGACCUACGGGUGAAAGCAGGGGAUCUUCGGACCUUGCGUUAUUAGAGCGGCCGAUAUCUGAUUAGGUAGUUGGUAGGUAAAGCCUACCAAGCCGACGAUCAGUAGCUGGUCUGAGAGGACGAUCAGCCACACUGGAACUGAGACACGGUCCAGACUCC